rnacentral:rRNA from 1 species
AAUCAACGCUGGCGGCGUGCCUCAGACAUGCAAGUCGAACGAUUAAAGCUCUCUUCGGAGAGUGCAUAGAGUGGCGCACGGGUGAGUAACACGUAAGUAAUCUACCUUCGAGUGGGGAAUAACGUCCGGAAACGGACGCUAAUACCGCAUAAUGCAGCGGCAUCGCAAGAUGACAGUUGUUAAAGGAGCAAUUCGCUUGAAGAGGAGCUUGCGGCAGAUUAGCUAGUUGGUAAGGUAAUGGCUUACCAGGGCUACGAUCUGUAACCGGUCUUAGAGGACGGUCGGUCACACUGACACUGAAUAACGGGUCAGACUCCUACGGGAGGCAGCAGUCGGGAAUUUUGGGCAAUGGGCGAAAGCCUGACCCAGCAACGCCGCGUGAAGGAUGAAGUAUUUCGGUAUGUAAACUUCGAAAGAAUAGGGAAGAAUAAAUGACGGUACCAUUUAUAAGGUCCGGCUAACUACGUGCCAGCAGCCGCGGU